rnacentral:lncRNA from 1 species
UUUUUUAUUUUUAUUUUUUAAAUAAUUAUAUAAUUAAUUUUUAAUAAUUAUAGAACCCACAAUACUACGUGGCAACUUUCAAUUAGCCCUUUUUACCAAAUUAGCCCUUUUUACCAUAUCAACGUGUAUGUGCAACAUACACUUUAAACUUUUAGCUGAUUGGGUCAAAAAUGCCCAAUUAAAAUUAAAGUGGGGGUUUAAAGAUUUAAUAGAUACAUGUCUUAGUUUAUUUGGCCUAAAGAGAACACACAGAACACUAUUCACAGCACAUACAUCCAUACAUAAUAUAGAGAUAGGCGAGUCUGGAGACAGAGAUAGUGCAUAGUGAAAAGGGAGAGUGAAACUAAGCAAAUAAAUUGAUUUUAUUGGGUGAAUUCUCGAUGGAAACUACAUCACCGGCAAAAGCUGCCGGAAUAUGAUGCCCCAAUCGUCCCGCCUCCAUCUUCCCCGGCGGGUACCGUUGUCGCCGUUCCCCUCUCUCCCUUUUCCCCCUCCCAUCCACAGAUCCACCAUCAGCGCCGCCUUCCUGACGGCAAACCAGUGGGUAUCGGCGAAAUCCAGCCGAUUCACCCACCACCGGCUGCCAACAACCACUCGAGCUACCAUCCUACACUGCCGCAUCCCUGCUGCAAACUAGAAAUGAAUAGCGCUAGAAGAUGCGCCUCUCCAAGGUGAACACGGCCCACCAAAAACCCCCAAAUUUCAGUGAGCAAAACACCACCAAUUUCAAUUUAAACGAAGCGCCACCUAUGGCGAUAUCUGGCGACGACGGCGCCGCCGCGCAGAUCGUCAAAUCCAAAAUUGCCAAUGCAGUUUGAUGGGAAAUCACACCAGCAAUACUAAUUUGUAAAAAUCCCCAAUUAGUUCUACCCAGAAUUAGUUCAAUUUUGAAAUUAGGGUUUCCAAAUUCAAAUUUUUUUGGCGGACAGUGUCACCAGCUCCAUUUUCCAAAAUUGAUCCGAACUGUGUUGGUGUUUGUAUCUCGCUUGGAUUUGUGUAUCAUGGAUUCGAGUUGCUUGUUUUCUUCAUAGGUUUAUGUUCAAAUCAGGUUCCGGGGAUUUCCGUGGUUGGGUUGUUUAAUAAUCAGUUAUUUAGGUUUGUAUCAAUUUAAAGUAUUGGGGAUCAUAAUAAAAUUAAUAUAAUGGUUAAUUUUUGCGUAUUUGAAUUAUUUCAUUACUAUUAUUAUUAUUUAUUUUAUUUUAUUUUUAUUUUAUUGUCAUCAACAAAGCUUGAUAAUUGGUUGCUAAAUAAUUUUAUCGCUUUAAAUGAAUUUUGCUCAAGUUUAUUGUUAAGGUUAGGUAACAUUUUGAGUAGGCAAGACUUUUAAACAUUAGGCAAAUAUAAGAUAACUAAAUUUUGUCUCUAUUAAGAAUGCUGUGUGCGCAUCAUUUUGGAGACGCUUAAAAAUAAUUUGAAGAUGCAAUACUGUAUUUUGGCAAAAAUUGUCUUAAAAUUAAUUUUCACUUGUUUAAUACAAGAGUUAUAGAGAAGUUUUAAUAUAAUAAAAAUGAGCGAAUUUAGGCCUUAAUAUAAUUUAUUAAAAUUGUUUACGUCAAGAUAAAUUAAUUAAAACGACCGUGCUAGAAUCAUGAGACUCGAGAGGUGCCUCAUACCUUUCCCUCGGUUGACAAAAUUGCUUAUCUGGUC